rnacentral:rRNA from 1 species
GAUGAACGCUGGCGGCGUGCUUAACACAUGCAAGUCGAACGAGAAGUGAAGACGGAAACCUUCGGGCGGAAGGCUUUAUUUCGAGUGGCGGACGGGUGAGUAACGCGUGGGUAACCUGCCUCAUACAGGGGGAUAACAGUUGGAAACGACUGUUAAUACCGCAUAAGACCACAGCACCGCAUGGUGCGGGGGUAAAAACUCCGGUGGUAUGAGAUGGACCCGCGUUCGAUUAGCCAGUUGGCGGGGUAACGGCCCACCAAAGCGACGAUCGAUAGCCGAUCUGAGAGGAUGACCGGCCACAUUGGGACUGAGACACGGCCCAAACUCCUACGGGAGGCAGCAGUGGGGAAUAUUGCACAAUGGGGGAAACCCUAAUGCAGCGACGCCGCGUGAGUGAAGAAGUAUUUCGGUAUGUAAAGCUCUAUCAGCAGGGAAGAAAAUGACGGUACCUGAGUAAGAAGCCCCGGCUAACUACGUG